UUAAAUUGAAGAGUUUGAUCAUGGCUCAGAUUGAACGCUGGCGGCAGGCCUAACACAUGCAAGUCGAACGGUAACAGGAAUCAGCUUGCUGCUUCGCUGA
rnacentral:rRNA from 1 species